UACAGAGGGUGCGAGCGUUGUCCGGAAUCACUGGGCGUAAAGGGCGCGUAGGCGGCUUGAUAAGCGUGCGGUGAAAGCCCGGGGCUCAACCCCGGGUCGGCCGUGCGAACUGUCGAGCUGGAGCACUGUAGAGGCAGGUGGAAUUCCGGGUGUAGCGGUGGAAUGCGUAGAUAUCGGGAGGAACACCUGUGGCGAAAGCGGCUCACUGGACCACAACUGACGCUGAUGCGCGAAAGCUAGGGGAGCAAACAGG
rnacentral:rRNA from 1 species